CUCUUUUCAGUCAUUUUUUUUACACCUAAUAUACAAAUUUAACAUUCUAUAAAAUCAAAAUAAUAUAAUAACGUAGAUUCCACGUAAUAAUUGUAUACAAUUCAUGUAUUAUAUUAUGGAAUUGAGGCAUAUGUUUAUUCAAAUGAGUUUAAUUUAUUAUUCAAGUUAUAACGGCAGUUUCUCACUCAAGUCAAACAUAAGAAUUGUUAUCUUUUCAAGAUAAAAAGAAUAUGUGAACUUUCAAUGGUAGCAUGUGUUAUGUUUGGAAAAUGGACAAUAUCACUCUAUGUCUCUUGUCAAAAUCUCACAAUGUAAUAUAGUCAAGUCGACUUGUUGUAUGAACGGAAUAUUGUUCACGCCCAAACGAUACACAACCCUCUUUAAAAAUUAAUCAAAACAGUAUACAUAAUAAAUACGUUAAAAUUGUAAAGAAUUAAGAUCGAUAAGCCAGAGUGAAAUAAGCCACGUCUACUUUAUCAAAAAUCUUCUAUAUAGACUAUAAGUAUGUAUAGAUAUCAUAAAAUUUAUAACAGUGUUCUAAAGUUUAGAUAAUAAAACAUUUUAAAUUAUAAAAUAAUAAAUUAAAUGAAUUAGUAGAAAUUAAAUGUUUCGAUAGAAAAAAAAACAGUGCAGUGGCCCAUGAGUGAUGGUAUAUUGUUAAUUAGUACAUUAGAAAUAAUAAGUUUAAUAAUCUUGGUGUAAUUGAAAAUUUAGAAAUUUUCUAAAAAUGUCUCAUAUUAUUUUAUAGCUUUAAUUUUCAACAAAUUUGAGAAAUAGAAUACUUUUUUCUAAACAUUUGGAAAUACGCUGGUAGAAAGUGAUAAAUAAAAAAAUUAUAUUAUUAAGGCUUAAUAACAAACCAUAAGAUGUUUUUAAAAAAUCGGAAGUUUAUAUUAAAUCCAUAUCAUGGUAGUCUCUGUUCGGUAUUGAAAAACAAUAUUUGUGUGUGUGUGUAAACAAUACAAAGUCAAGUCUAUCCCCUAUAGUGGUUCUGAAACAUGUAUGUACCCAAUGAUGUGCACCUCAAAUUUUGCAUUUUAUGGAGAAACUCAUACAGGGAAUUUAUUUUUUAACGAAAAACAAAUAUUAUUUUUUGUUUGUUUAGCGUGUCCAUUGAUUAUAGAAAUUUUAAUUAAAAAAGUAAUCCAAUAAAUGCAUUAUAAAAAUAUAAGAUUAAAAAAAAAAAAUUAAAAAUUGAGUGUAUUAUUAAUAAAAACCACAACGAUUACCUAUAACCCACGUGUAAAAAAUAUGCAUAUACAAAAAAAAAGUCUUGACUGAUUGAUUCGUAGUAGUCAAAGUACAUUAAACACUGUGUGUAGCCUAAGACUGAAAUUUUUCACGGUAAGGGAUGGCAAUAAGAAAGGAUUUUCCGAAAUUCGCAUUUUAAAGAGGGGCUCACAGAGGGAUUUGUCGACUGACGAAAAAACAAAUAUUGUCUUGUUUGUAUAGGGUUGUCACUGGUUACAGAAAACAAAAUAGAAGUCGCACGAUUGGAUACAAUAAAUUGUAGACCUGUACUCUACGUUCGGUUAAAACCACUGUCGCCACUGCCGUCCAAACGACUUUGUAUUAAAAAUCAUACACGUUUCAACCACGUUUAGGACAGAGUAAAUCCGAAUUAAAAUAUUAUUUAUUAAUCUUUAGCGGACAACACAGCCGCCACCGCCCCCCGUACGGGUUCGAUGUAGACGGUCGUUGCGUACAGCAUUAUUUUUUUUUACGUCGCGUUUCCUGGGAGACGCAUUGUUAUUUACCCGACACGAAAUUCGGACGCAGAAUCUUCGUAUAAAUCGAAAAACGUCAAAACACUUGUUGUCGUGUUUGUUUGUUCAUCUCUGAGCGGUGCAAAUUCGACAGGAAACGUCGCAUUGCGAUACUAUUAAUUAAUUACCUUAAGAGCGCGUAAAAAUAAGCUCAUCACCAUGAAUUCGACGACGGCAACCGACGCGUGGUACACGACCAGCCCAUUGGACGACUUCCGGUCGAUCUUGAAGAUGAUCAUGGACGAGACGGUGCAGUUCGCGGUGGCCGCAGCGACCCUGUUGGGCGUCCUGUGGUCCGCGGUCGUCGUCACCGCCAUGCUGGCCGAGGGCGUUCUGAACGCGGUCAUCCAAGCCACGACGGACGCAGCCUGUCCGCAACCGAAAACGUGUGCGGCCGUGUCGUUUCUAAGACGGCCGUUGAUCCGGUCGAUCACGACCACCUGUUUUGCACUGGGGCUGUGGUUGACGUACUUCGGUAUCGUGAUCGGUCCCGUGUGUUUGGUGAUCGGUCGACCAUCGGCCUCGAUAGUCCGCAAAUUGGUCGGGGCCGCCGGUGCAGUGGUCUUCGGAUGACGUCCAGUAGUUGUAUACUUUUAAAUCCUUUUAAUCUGUAAAAAAAAAAUAUUUCGUUAGAAUAUUUUCUACGAAGUUUUUUAAAUAAUAAAAUCGUUUAAAAAUAUUGUCGAUUA